rnacentral:tRNA from 1 species
GGGGUUGUGGCUCAGAGGUAGAGUACUUGCCUAGCAUGCAUGAGGCACUGGGUUCAAGCCUCAGCACCA